rnacentral:rRNA from 1 species
GGAAGUUGGGGGCAAUAACAGGUCUGUGAUGCCCUUAGAUGUCCUGGGCCGCACGCGCGCUACACUGACACACGCAGCGAGUCUUCCUUGUCCGAAAGGUCCGGGUAAUCUUGUAAAUGUGUGUCGUGAUAGGGAUAGAUUAUUGCAAUUAUUAAUCUUGAACGAGGAAUUCCUAGUAAAUGCGAGUCAUCAGCUCGCGUUGAUUACGUCCCUGCCCUUUGUACACACCGCCCGUCGCACCUACCGAUUGAAUGAUUCGGUGAAACUUUCGGACCGUGGACAGGACGCUCUCGGGCGACUUGACCGUGGGAAGUUAUUUAAACCUCAUCAUUUAGAGGAAGGUGAAGUCGUAACAAGGUUUCCGUAGGUGAACCUGCAGAAGGAUCAA